rnacentral:rRNA from 1 species
CGCUGGCGGCAUGCCUUACACAUGCAAGUCGAACGGUAACGCGGGGCAACCUGGCGACGAGUGGCGAACGGGUGAGUAAUACAUCGGAACGUGCCCAGUAGUGGGGGAUAGCCCGGCGAAAGCCGGAUUAAUACCGCAUACGACCUACGGGUGAAAGCAGGGGAUCGCAAGACCUUGCGCUAUUGGAGCGGCCGAUGUCAGAUUAGGUUGUUGGUGGGGUAAAAGCCUACCAAGCCGACGAUCUGUAGCUGGUCUGAGAGGACGACCAGCCACACUGGGACUGAGACACGGCCCAGACUCCUACGGGAGGCAGCAGUGGGGAAUUUUGGACAAUGGGCGCAAGCCUGAUCCAGCCAUGCCGCGUGCGGGAAGAAGGCCUUCGGGUUGUAAACCGCUUUUGUCAGGGAAGAAACGCCCUAGGCUAAUACCCUGGGGUAAUGACGGUACCUGAAGAAUAAGCACCGGCUAACUACGUGCCAGCAGCCGCGGUAAUACGUAGGGUGCAAGCGUUAAUCGGAAUUACUGGGCGUAAAGCGUGCGCAGGCGGUCUUGCAAGACAGAUGUGAAAUCCCCGGGCUCAACCUGGGAACUGCAUUUGUGACUGCAAGGCUGGAGUACGGCAGAGGGGGAUGGAAUUCCGCGUGUAGCAGUGAAAUGCGUAGAUAUGCGGAGGAACACCGAUGGCGAAGCAAUCCCCUGGGCCUGUACUAACGC